rnacentral:snRNA from 2 species
UCACUUACCUGGACGGGGUCAAUGCAAGAUCAACAAGGUCCAUGGCCUAGGUUGGUGACCUUCAUUGCACCUCGGAGGGAUGCCCGCCUAAGGUCGGCCCAAGCGGUCGAGCCUACGUCAUAAUUUGUGGCAGUGGGGGCUUGCGUUCGCGCAGCCCCUGC